GUAAAAGAACCUGAGCUAGAGUCCAGACAACCAAAUCUGUUAAAGGUCCUUGCCCCAUGGCUCCCUUCCAUCUGGGUGUUAUUUUAAGUCUCCAAGUUUUUUGUUAUGCAGCUAUAGAAAAUCAAUACAAUCAAGUAAAAUGUGGACACAGCAGCACUGAUUCCAAAAGAGAUAUGCUUUUCAAAUUCAAAAUUGCUGUUUUUGAGACCAAAAUUAUCACCCUUUGAUUUGAAUGAUAGAUUAUCUAUGUGGAAUGGAUUUGACCUAAGGCAAUUAAAUAGAAUAUGGUGAUGGGUGCUGUGCAAGAAGAAGGAGGGAAGAAGGAAGCUGAGUGUGCAGCAAAGACACCUGCGGGGACACAUAGAACCAGGCAUUUGCUGAAGGACACCUGGAUUGCACAACCAGCGGCUAACUUGCAUGAAAAAAACAUUCUAGUAGUAAUUUCUGAAGCACUUCAGGUAAUUGCUGCCCUC
rnacentral:lncRNA from 1 species